UACGUAGGGAGCGAGCGUUAUCCGGAUUUAUUGGGUGUAAAGCGUGUGUAGACGGUUUCUUAAGUCUAUAGUCUAAGCCUGGAGCUUAACUCCAGUUCGCUAUGGAAACUGAGAGACUUGAGUAUGGUAGAGGCAAGUGGAAUUUCUAGUGUAGCGGUGGAAUGCGUAGAUAUUAGAAGGAACACCAGUGGCGAAGGCGGCUUGCUGGGCCAUCACUGACGUUGAGACACGAAAGCGUGGGGAGCGAAUAGG
rnacentral:rRNA from 1 species